rnacentral:rRNA from 1 species
UUCUGACCUCGAAUCAGGUGGGACUACCCGCUGAACUUAAGCAUAUCAAUAAGCGGAGGAAAAGAAACUAACAAGGAUUCCCUUAGUAACUGCGAGUGAAGUGGGAUGAGCUCAAAUUUAAAAUCUGGUAGUCUCUGGCUGCCCGAGUUGUAAUCUAGAGAAGUGUUUUCUGUGCUGGACUGUGUUUAAGUUUCCUGGAUAUGGAACAUCAUAGAGGGUGAGAAUCCCGUCUUUGACACAGACUGCCAGUACUCUGUGAUGCACUCUCAACGAGUCGAGUUGUUUGGGAUUGCAGCUCAAAAUG